rnacentral:rRNA from 1 species
AGUGAACGCUGGCGGUAGGCCUAACACAUGCCAGUCGAACGGCCGCACAGUAAGAGCUUGCUCUUACGGGUGGCGAGUGGCGGACGGGUGAGGCAUACAUCGGAAUCUACUUUUUCUUGGGUGAUAACGUAGGGAAACUUCCGCUAAUACCGCAUACGACCUACGGGUGAAAUCAGGGGAUCUUCGCACCUUUCCCGUUUCAAUUAGCCGAUGUCGGAUUAGCUAGUUGGCGGGGUAAAGGCCCACCAAGGCGACGAUCCGUAGCUGGUCUGAGAGGAUGAUCAGCCACACUGGAACUGAGACACGGUCCAGACUCCUACGGGAGGCAGCAGUGGGGAAUAUUGGACAAUGGGCGCAAGCCUGAUCCAGCAAUACCGCGUGGGUGAAGAAGGCCUUCGGGUUGUAAAGCCCUUUUGUUGGGAAAGAAAAGAAGCAGGUGAAUACCCCGCUGUUCUGACGGUACCCAAAGAAUAAGCAACGGCUAACUUCGUG